AGAUAAGCUUAGUUUUCGACUCAACUCGAUUCACUUCGAGCCCUAUACGUCUCCCUCCCUCCGUAGAAUCGUAGACGAUAGCGCGUCCCUCCCUCCUCCUCCAUCUGUGACGCCAUUCUCCUGCCCUGCCAAUCUGCCAUCCUUCUCAUGCAACAGCGGUGGUGGCACGUUCCUCGUAAGAGUAAAGGACAUCAUUUUGAAGCGGAAGAUCGGAAAGGGAUUGUUUUCGGCGGUGUGGAGGGCAGAGCAUAGAGGCACCGGCGAAGAGGUGGCAGUGAAACAGGUCUUCCUCUCCAAACUCAGCCCUCGCCUUAAGUCAUCGUUCCACUGCGACCUCAAUUUCUUAUCCUCGUCAACCACCCCAACAUCGUUCGCCUCCUUGAUUUCUUCCAGUAUGAUGGAUGUGCGUACUUAGUGAUGGAGUUCUGUGCUGGAGGGAACCUUGCUUCUUAUAUCCGAUCCCAUGGGAGCGUUCAACAACAAACUGCCAGAAGAUUCAUGCAGCAGCUCGGUUCUGGUAUAAAAAUAUUACAAAGUUAUGGUAUCAUUCAUAGAGACUUGAAACCAGAGGUAAAGCUAAAAUGAAAAAUGUAUGUGACAUUAUUGCUACUUAGGUUUGAGAUGCCUAUUACUACAUUAGCAUUUAUGUGAAGUAAAUACUUACUUCGGUUGGUGGAUUGUGAGGGCCAUUAGUAAAUACUUACUUUAGGAAAUGCUGUAUUGAGAGACACUGGUGGAUAUAUUCAAGAAGAGGUGUGUUAUUAAUUGUAUGCAGUUAGAGCACCUCAUCAUGACUCAAAAUCUAAUGAACAAGAGAUCAACUCAAUUCAAGAAUGUCAUAUACUGAACCUUACUCGAAUCAUAAGCUAUGCCCUCUUUCCAAGAUUCAGGUAGGUGCCUAAAACUAUGGCGAUAUUUUGGAAUUUUGACCAGCCCAAAUGGAAAGUUCCUUGUGUUUUUAUCUGCGAAAAGUGCUGUGGAUUUAGGAGUGCACAAUGCUACAAACUCACUACAUAGAAUUGAUUGGCCAACCGAUGGAAAACUCACUACAAACUGCAUCAUAAUGAGUGUAUAAGGUUAAUAUGGUUGUUGUUACCGAUGGAAGCAUAAUUUUGGGACUUGGGA